rnacentral:rRNA from 1 species
CAGUAGCGCGGUAAUACGGAGGGUGCAAGCGUUAAUCGGAAUUACUGGGCGUAAAGCGCACGCAGGCGGUCUGACAAGUCAGAUGUGAAAUCCCCGGGCUUAACCUGGGAACUGCAUUUGAAACUGUCAGGCUGGAGUCUUGUAGAGGGGGGUGGAAUUCCAGGUGUAGCGGUGAAAUGCGUAGAGAUCUGGAGGAAUACCGGUGGCGAAGGCGGCCCCCUGGACAAGGACUGACGCUCAGGUGCGAAAGCGUGGGGAGCAAACAGGAUUAGAUACCCCGGUAGUCCCUGUCUCUUAUACA